rnacentral:rRNA from 1 species
CGCAAUGGGCGAAAGCCUGACGGAGCAAUACCGCGUGAGGGAUGAAAGCCUGUGGGUUGUAAACCUCUUUUCUCAAGGAAGAAGUUCUGACGGUACUUGAGGAAUAAGCAUCGGCUAACUCUGUGCCAGCAGCCGCGGUAAUACAGAGGAUGCAAGCGUUAUCCGGAAUCACUGGGCAUAAAGCGUCUGUAGGUGGUUUGAUAAGUCUGCUGUUAAAGACUAGGGCUUAACCCUAGGAAAGCAGUGGAAACUGUUAGACUUGAGUAUGGUAGAGGUAGAGGGAAUUCCUAGUGUAGCGGUGAAAUGCGUAGAUAUUAGGAAGAACACCAAUGGCGAAAGCACUCUGCUGGGCCACAACUGACACUGAGAGACGACAGCUA